UAUUCACAGUAUUCUGUGGCAGCCAGACGGGCGAUGUUCUCUUCAAAGUACUCCAUCUCUUUGGCUGUCAGCACUGCCAGCCUGCGCACCUCUUGAUAAGACCACUUUGCAUCACACUUCUCCAAGGACAGGAUGCUCUGCGGCUGAUCUUCACAGACAAGCAUCUGGAUGCUGACGACGUGCUGCUGUCUGAAUACGGGAUCCAGCACAUGUCCGUCCUCCACAUGGUGAUGAAGGUUCCUGGAGGACUCACCGCUUGACGGAGACCUCCUCUCCUCCUGCUGCUGUUUACACAUUUUAAAGCUUUUACUGUCUGGGCUGUUUUAUUGCAGUAACCCUUUUAAUAUUCCCAUGUUUUAAAAAGCUGUUUCAAAAUAAAGAAAAGUUCUGUCUAAUACUU